rnacentral:rRNA from 1 species
UGGAAACAGAUGCUAAUACCGCAUAACAACUUGGACCGCAUGGUCCGAGUUUGAAAGAUGGCUUCGGCUAUCACUUUUGGAUGGUCCCGCGGCGUAUUAGCUAGAUGGUGGGGUAACGGCUCACCAUGGCAAUGAUACGUAGCCGACCUGAGAGGGUAAUCGGCCACAUUGGGACUGAGACACGGCCCAAACUCCUACGGGAGGCAGCAGUAGGGAAUCUUCCACAAUGGACGAAAGUCUGAUGGAGCAACGCCGCGUGAGUGAAGAAGGGUUUCGGCUCGUAAAACUCUGUUGUUAAAGAAGAACAUAUCUGAGAGUAACUGUUCAGGUAUUGACGGUAUUUAACCAGAAAGCCACGGCUAACUACGUGCCAGCAGCCGCGGUAAUACGUAGGUGGCAAGCGUUGUCCGGAUUUAUUGGGCGUAAAGCGAGCGCAGGCGGUUUUUUAAGUCUGAUGUGAAAGCGUUCGGCUCAACCGAAGAAGUGCAUCGGAAACUGGGAAACUUGAGUGCAGAAGAGGACAGUGGAACUCCAUGUGUAGCGGUGAAAUGCGUAGAUAUAUGGAAGAACACCAGUGGCGAAGGCGGCUGUCUGGUCUGUAACUGACGCUGAGGCUCGAAAGUAUGGGUAGCAAACAGGAUUAGAUACCCUGGUAGUCCAUACCGUAAACGAUGAAUGCUAAGUGUUGGAGGGUUUCCGCCCUUCAGUGCUGCAGCUAACGCAUUAAGCAUUCCGCCUGGGGAGUACGGCCGCAAGGCUGAAACUCAAAGGAAUUGACGGGGGCCCGCACAAGCGGUGGAGCAUGUGGUUUAAUUCGAAGCUACGCGAAGAACCUUACCAGGUCUUGACAUACUAUGCAAAUCUAAGAGAUUAGACGUUCCCUUCGGGGACAUGGAUACAGGUGGUGCAUGGUUGUCGUCAGCUCGUGUCGUGAGAUGUUGGGUUAAGUCCCGCAACGAGCGCAACCCUUAUUAUCAGUUGCCAGCAUUAAGUUGGGCACUCUGGUGAGACUGCCGGUGACAAACCGGAGGAAGGUGGGGAUGACGUCAAAUCAUCAUGCCCCUUAUGACCUGGGCUACACACGUGCUACAAUGGAUGGUACAACGAGUUGCGAA